UACGGGGGGAGCAAGCGUUGUUCGGAUUUACUGGGCGUAAAGGGCGCGUAGGCGGCCACCGCAAGUCGACUGUGAAAUCUCCGGGCUUAACUCGGAAAGGUCAGCCGAUACUGCGGGGCUAGAGUGCAGAAGGGGCAACUGGAAUUCUCGGUGUAGCGGUGAAAUGCGUAGAUAUCGAGAGGAACACCUGAGGUGAAGACGGGUUGCUGGGCUGACACUGACGCUGAGGCGCGAAAGCCAGGGGAGCAAACGGG
rnacentral:rRNA from 1 species